rnacentral:rRNA from 1 species
GACGAACGCUGGCGGCGUGCCUAAUACAUGCAAGUUGAGCGAUGAAGCUUGGUGCUUGCCCCAAUUUGACGAGCAGCGAACGGGUGAGUAACGCGUGGGGAAUCUGCCUUUGAGCGGGGGACAACAUUUGGAAACGAAUGCUAAUACCGCAUAACAACUUUAAACAUAAGUUUUAAGUUUGAAAGAUGCAAUUGCAUCACUCAAAGAUGAUCCCGCGUUGUAUUAGCUAGUUGGUGAGGUAAAGGCUCACCAAGGCGAUGAUACAUAGCCGACCUGAGAGGGUGAUCGGCCACAUUGGGACUCAGACACGGCCCAAACUCCUACGGGAGGCAGCAGUAGGGAAUCUUCGGCAAUGGACGAAAGUCUGACCGAGCAACGCCGCGUGAGUGAAGAAGGUUUUCGGAUCGUAAAACUCUGUUGGUAGAGAAGAACGUUGGUGAGAGUGGAAAGCUCAUCAAGUGACGGUAACUACCCAGAAAGGGACGGCUAACUACGUG